rnacentral:rRNA from 1 species
GAUGAACGCUGGCGGCGUGCCUAAUACAUGCAAGUAGAACGCUGAAGGAGGAGCUUGCUCUUCUGGAUGAGUUGCGAACGGGUGAGUAACGCGUAGGUAACCUGCCUGGUAGCGGGGGAUAACUAUUGGAAACGAUAGCUAAUACCGCAUGACAACAGUUAUUGCAUGAUAACUGUUUAAAAGGGGCAACUGCUCCACUACCAGAUGGACCUGCGUUGUAUUAGCUAGUUGGUGAGGUAACGGCUCACCAAGGCGACGAUACAUAGCCGACCUGAGAGGGUGAUCGGCCACACUGGGACUGAGACACGGCCCAGACUCCUACGGGAGGCAGCAGUAGGGAAUCGUCGGCAAGAGACGGAAGUCUGACCGAGCAACGCCGCGUGAGUGAAGAAGGUUUUCGGAUCGUAAAGCUCGGUUGUAAGAGAAGAACGAGUGUGAGAGUGGAAAGUUCACACUGUGACGGUAUCUUACCAGAAAGGGACGGCUAACUACGUG